rnacentral:rRNA from 1 species
GUCGAAUGGGUUUAGACCCAUGGCAGACGAGGUAGUAACACGUAGGUACGUGCCGUAGAGUCGGGGAUAACCUGGAGAAAUCCAGAAUAAUACCUGAUAGUCCCUUCGGGGUAAAGAUUUAUCGCUCUAUGAACGGCCUGCGGUCUAUCAGCUUGUUGGUAAGGUAACGGCUUACCAAGGCUACGACGGAUAGGGGAGGUGAGAGCCUGACCCCCACCGAUGGAACUGAGACACGGUCCAUACUCCUACGGGAGGCCGCAGUCGAGAAUCUUCCGCAAUGGACGAAAGUCUGACGGAGCGACGCCGCGUGGUGGAUGAAGCCUUUAGGGGCGUAAACACCUUUUAUGGAGGAGGAAUUUUAUUGACGUUACUCCAUGAAUAAGGGGCUCCCAAUUCUGUGCCAGCAGGAGCGGUAAUACAGAAGCCCCGAGCGUUACCCGGAUUCACUGGGCGUAAAGGGUGCGUAGGCGGUUAUAUUAGUCGGGUGUUAAAUCCUGGGGCUCAACCUCAGGCUCGCAUUCGAAACGGUAUAACUAGAAGAAGUGAGAGGUUAAGGGAACUCAAGGUGUAGGGGUGAAAUCCGUUGAUAUCUUGGGGAACACCAAAUGC